AGCUUACUAUCUUCAGUAUCUUUGAGAGAGAGAGGUGAUCAACCGAUUUGGUCCUCAACCUAAUAGGGACAUUUAUGGUUGGUCUUUCUAUAAAUAUUAGGUCAAGAAUGACUUAUUGGAAGACAAGUUCCCCUUUUCGAAAAAUUUGGAAAGUGAAUGCUCAUCCUAGAAUUGCUUUCUUUACUUGGAAAGUAGAGCAUUGAAGUAUUUUGCUUAUUGACAAGUUGAUGAGGAGGGGAAAUAUUU
rnacentral:lncRNA from 1 species